rnacentral:rRNA from 1 species
UACGGCGGUCAUUGCGUGGGGGAAACGCCCGGUCCCAUUCCGAACCCGGAAGCUAAGGCCCACAGCGCCGAUGGUACUGCACUCGGGAGGGUGUGGGAGAGUAGGUCGCCGCCGGAC